rnacentral:rRNA from 1 species
UACGUAGGUGGCGAGCGUUAUCCGGAAUGAUUGGGCGUAAAGGGUGCGUAGGUGGCAGAUCAAGUCUGGAGUAAAAGGUAUGGGCUCAACCCGUACUGGCUCUGGAAACUGAUCAGCUAGAGAACAGAAGAGGACGGCGGAACUCCAUGUGUAGCGGUAAAAUGCGUAGAUAUAUGGAAGAACACCGGUGGCGAAGGCGGCCGUCUGAUCUGGAUUCUGACACUGAAGCACGAAAGCGUGGGGAGCAAAUAGG